AAGAAAAAAGAGCAACGGGACAAAGUGGAAGCCGACGCUGGACAGAAGUUUGCGAUCGAACAACCGUAAACGAUGCGACGAAGGGCCAAACGUCGGAGCGAGGGGCCAGAGGGGACAAAGUAUAAGGUAGAGAAGAGGGAACGUCAGCCGCGUUCUCGGAAGGAAGGGCAAUAAUCGAAAGAGAAGGAACGAGCCGGGUAGUUUUCGCAUAAUUCGCGAAGCACGGCGAUGCCUAAUGUCAGUGUUUCUCGGUUAGCGUGGAAAUCGAGAGGAGAGGCAAAGAAACCGCGGCGUACCGUGGCGAGGCCAGGGAGGAGUCGAAGGCAGAAAGAGGAAAAGGAAGCACGUUAUAUUUUAUAUGACAGCGUGAUUGCAUUUCCCAGAACAAACAUCGCUUUGGCCGAGCGAGCGCAAGAAAACGUCCGCGUUAAUCGCGGCCCCUCCGUUCUGCUUUCGUCCAUUCCAUCUACCACCCCGAUGCCUCUUCUCUUCCCGCGAUUUCCUUCCAUUCUUUAUUUCCUUUCCCUACUUUCUCUCGGACAGCUGAACACGGAAAACGAUCGCUUACCAACUGGUGAACGACCAAAUUUUCAGAAGACGAGUCAUCGGAUUAUCGACGCGUUCGCGAAAGUAUUGGACCGAUAAAAAUAGUCGAAACGGUUACACGGGAUUUCUCUCUCGACAACGUUUUCGAACGAUUCGCGAGCUAUUCUUUUGUCGGCUAAAGAAUUAUCGAACGUACAGGUGUCGGGCUAAUAAUUUAGCGCGAAAGAUCGAUUCGGCGAUAACGGAAUUUUGCCGCGUGGAAGAAAAAAAACAAUGAAAAUCGGAGAGCGAGGAAAAGAGGCUAGCGAUCCGUUUUCUCUCGAAGCUUUCUUCGCCCCGCAUCAGAGAAGUUGGCCCGCGAGUAAUUUUCACGAUUAUUCCCGUUUCCGCCUUCUCGCCCACGAUUCUAACUACCCUCGUCUCGCCUUGUCCCGCUUCGUCUCGCUUCGACUCGCCUCGCCUCGCCACCGACUGCCACACCUCAACCCCGGCACCGCGUUCCUCUUUUUCUUCCCUUCCAUCCCCGUGAAACUCUACGGUCAGGACUAUUUGUUCGCGGACUUAUCUGUAUUUUAUUAUACCCGAAGUUUUCACGCUCUCCCUUAUCUGCUCUCGUGUUUACUAUACGAUAUUUAUAGCCGUGCUCGUCUGUACUCGGCGCCGGUUAUUACGGAGCUCGCUACGCUCGAGAAAAGAGAAGCGAAGAGAAGAGAAGGCCGUUGUACCAAAUACCGCGGCUACGAAGAACAACGAAAGAAGGAAAAGCCUCGACCAAGAACGAAGGAAAAGGGCAACGGAGAUGGAUAAAUCAUUUACCUUCCCGUUCCUGGAACGAGUUCUCUCUCGCGAGAACCGGUGCAAACAGAAAUACGAACGGAAAUCGCGCUAAACUCUCGUGUCCCCUUUGUACGGAAUGUACCUCUGCCGGUACUAGCAGGAAACCGAUAAUUCUACCUAAGAAGAUGCUUUCUUUUUCUCGCGCGAGAUUUUCUUGCCGAGGAAAUCGAUUCGAAAAACUCGUUUAAUAAUCGACCGUGUUCAACAACUUUUUCGGACCCGAUCACCUCGAAAACGAUCGUUCUUUUCCGUUCGCGUUCCAAAUUUUCAACUUCGAAAACGCGUGGGAGAGAGAAUUUCGUUUCGACGGUUCUUUGCGCGAGCGUGUUCGAGUUGCCGGAUAAUUAGAGACGCGAGAAUUCGUGGAAUGCUCGCGCGAGUUCUGCGAGCGAGCGAAGAAGGGAGCGGGAGCGGAGUCGCAUCAGGGGACGUAACACGAGAAUACAGGUCCGGCUUUUUAGCAUUCGCCCUCACCCCAGCUGAGACUAGACUCUCGCGAGCGUGUGAGUACGCGAGACCGCGCGUACGUGCCACCACCAUACGGUAGGAUUUUUCGGCCUGGCAAACCGUCGCAUCGCGUCGUUUCCGAUUUCCUCCGGUCGCGUGGCCGUCUACUCGACGGUGCCGGUGGUCACGACCCUUUCGAACGACCUCCGGCUGCAAAGGAUCCCGAGAGUUUCGGAGCCGCGCAGAACAACGGAGCGAGGAAGCCUCGUAUCGAGGAAUCGACGAUUCGAGAGAGAUUCGCGGUUGGUCGACAUGACGUUAACGCGGCGCUGCUAUCUCGCGCGGAGAUUUAUUAUUUAAUCUCGCGUCACGAUAUUUAUUAUUGCACGUAACCCCGUGGGUCUAUAAAAAUACCACGCGUUAUCGCGUACCGUCCGGUCAAUAACAAACUGACGAUACCUUGGCUCGUAUCGAAAUCGUAGCGAACGCGGAAUACUCUUUUUUUCCCCGUUUUCUCUCUUUCACCGUCCAAGGCAAAAACAGCUCGACGAAUCGACGAUCCAGCAGCUCCAGCAGCGAACGCGAGUCGACUCGAGCCGCGGACGAGAUUCAAGAGCGAAGAGGAGCGAAGAGGAGCGGAGAGGAGAGGAGAGGAGAGAGUGACAGAGGCAAGAGGAGGCGAGGGCGGAUGGAAGAAACGCGGUACGAUCGAAGCGGCUGCUCGCAACGCGAGAAGGACACGGUGCGAGGUGGGGCUAAGAGGAGAAGUUAGAACAAAUAAAGCGAUAAAAUAUAUAAUAUUACGUCGUACCGCCGGCUGGCCGACUCGUGCAUUCCAGAGUGCAUUGCCCUCGCAAAUACUCCCUCGGCCUUUCCGACCAGCCACACACGUCACGCCGGCCUUAAUACGAAAUUACUGCUAAAGCGUGCCAGCGCGUACGCUUUUCGCCGCGAAUUUCUUUCACGAUGUUUCGCGCGGCUCGCUUUCCUUGCCUCCCUCGCCUGUCCGUUCCGCCGUCCGUCCGUCGCUCCGUUCGCUCGCUCGCUCGCUCGCUCGCUCGUUCGUUCGAGCUGCACCCUCUGUCCACGAAUUUUCCCUUUCGUUCCUCUCCCGCUACCCGAGAGCCUUCUCUCUUCCAAAAAACGCUUCCGACCCUGUCCCCGGAAACUUUCGCAGCCGUUUUAUCGGCUAGAUCUUCGUCGCGAGUUAGAGCUAUUUCGUAACACGUGGGAUACGAAGACAAUUAAAAAAGUUGGCGUAAACUUA